rnacentral:rRNA from 1 species
CCCUUAGAUGUUCUGGGCUGCACGCGCGCUACACUGAUGCACUCAACGAGUUUACGACCUUGCCCGAUAGGGUUGGGUAAUCUUUUUAAAAUGCAUCGUGAUGGGGAUAGAUUAUUGCAAUUAUUAAUCUUCAACGAGGAAUUCCUAGUAAGCGCGAGUCAUCAGCUCGUGCUGAUUAUGUCCCUGCCCUUUGUACACACCGCCCGUCGCUCCUACUGAUUGGGUGAUCCGGUGAGCUGUUCGGCCAUAGCAAUGUUUCUUGAGCAGGGCAAUGAAUGUUUCGCAAACCUUGCCACUUAGAGGAAGGAGAAGUCGUAACA